rnacentral:rRNA from 2 species
UACGGAGGGUCCAAGCGUUAUCCGGAAUCAUUGGGUUUAAAGGGUCCGUAGGCGGUUUUGUAAGUCAGUGGUGAAAGCCCAUCGCUCAACGGUGGAACGGCCAUUGAUACUGCAAGACUUGAAUUAUUAGGAAGUAACUAGAAUAUGUAGUGUAGCGGUGAAAUGCUUAGAGAUUACAUGGAAUACCAAUUGCGAAGGCAGGUUACUACUAAUGGAUUGACGCUGAUGGACGAAAGCGUGGGUAGCGAACAGG